rnacentral:tRNA from 1 species
GGCGAGAUAGCUCAGUUGGUUAGAGCAUGCGGCUCAUAUCCGCAGUGUCGGAGGUUCAAGUCCUCUUCUCGCUA